ensembl:lncRNA
CACGGUCCUAUAUUCACUCGAUUCAACACGCUCUUUGACACAAUGGUGAGUGUCAUUUAAGUUACAUUAUUAAUACUCCAUUGUUUGUUUUAGAAGAUGUUUUUCAAAGAUGUAACAAAACUUAGGUCAAAAAUACAAAACUGUAAUACAAAUGCAAUACUCAUAGUUUUACAAGUAGCCUACCAUCCAUGAAAAAACAUGCAAUACAGCGUGAAAGUGUUUUCAGUAAAAAGUACACUGUGGCUUUCGCAACAGAUGUUCAGAAUGACUCUGUGUACCAGCUCAGUUUUCUGUGAAAGAGGUUUGCCAAUUUUACUCAUACUAUUGGAUUAAUUUAAAUAAGUUUAAUUUCCCAUAUUUCCUGACGUAAUGUCUACUUACUGCAGCUGGCAAGUCUGCAUGUUUCAGGAAGUAUGUGGGAGGUACAUGUAUGUGAACGCUUUACACUGGGUUUCAACUUGGCUGUAGAUAAGUUGAUAUUCAUAACCUGAUCUCUCUGGCUUAGUGUCUGUUUGUUUAUAGUUGCAUAACUUAUUUAACCAGUGUAGCUACACUUUUCUGUUUUUACUGAACUGAACAAUUAUUCCUUCAGAUAAAAAAGAAAGACAAAGACAAAGAUAAUUGCCAUUGGCUUCUGCCAAAUACUGAAUUGUAAAAAAAAAAAAAUAAUCCAGGACAUUCUAAUGUAUCUUGUAAUUGUACAAUGAUCCUGAUCUUUGAGCUUGCACAAUGAGCCUUGUUUUUUGUGUUCAAGAUGUUCCAGGUCCAUACAACCAGAAAAGUACAUUUAUUUGUAUCCAUGCUGGUGGUUUGUUCCUCAGUGUCUGAUGGACAAAUUACAACUGGACCCCCUGGACCCCCUGGACCCCCUGGACCUCGUGGACCCCCUGGAACCAGUGGAUUCCCUGGAGCCAGAGGAUCUGUUGGAGCCAGUGGAGCCAGUGGACCCCAAGGAACCCGUGGAGAGAGUGGACCCCCUGGAAAAGAUGGACCCCGUGGAGCCAGUGGACCCCCUGGCACUAGUGGAUCACCUGGCCAGGAGGGACCUACUGGUCCCCCAGGAAUCUGCACCUAUUCUGAAGGAUGUGAGACAAGCACUUUUGAUCAAAAUGGACUGACAUUGAUUGCUAUAGUAGGAUGUGUUCUUGCUGUCCUGGAUGCUGCUGCCUUGAUUGCUGUUGUUAUUUUCCAGAUCAAGAAGAGAAACACAGCAGUGAGAGACUCCGGAGUGCAUUCCCAGAGGCCUGAUAUGGACCCUCCUGAUGAUACAUACACAGCUCUGAAUCUCAGAACAAGAUCACCUGAUUAUGACACUCUUGAUCAUUCCAGGAACCCACCAAGAGCACGUGGCCGAAGCCAUCGAUGAAUACUGAAGCCUCUGCAAACUCCAGCUGAUGUUGAAUUUGCAUAACUCCAUACACCUUCAGAUAGCAAUCAACAGGGGACUGUUUUACAAACAUAUACACUGAUCUUGUGUGUGUGAAUAU